AGUGAACGCUGGCGGUAGGCCUAACACAUGCAAGUCGAACGGCAGCACAGUAAGAGCUUGCUCUUACGGGUGGCGAGUGGCGGACGGGUGAGGAAUACAUCGGAAUCUACUUUUUCGUGGGGGAUAACGUAGGGAAACUUACGCUAAUACCGCAUACGACCUACGGGUGAAAGCAGGGGAUCUUCGGACCUUGCGCGAUUGAAUGAGCCGAUGUCGGAUUAGCUAGUUGGCGGGGUAAAGGCCCACCAAGGCGACGAUCCGUAGCUGGUCUGAGAGGAUGAUCAGCCACACUGGGACUGAGACACGGUCCAGACUCCUACGGGAGGCAGCAGUGGGGAAUAUUGGACAAUGGGCGCAAGCCUGAUCCAGCCAUACCGCGUGGGUGAAGAAGGCCUUCGGGUUGUAAAGCCCUUUUGUUGGGAAAGAAAAGCAGCAGGUUAAUACCCCGCUGUUCUACGGUACCCAAAGAAUAAGCACCGGCUAACUUCGUG
rnacentral:rRNA from 1 species